rnacentral:rRNA from 1 species
GACGAACGCUGGCGGCGUGCUUAACACAUGCAAGUCGAGCGGUAAGGCCCUUUCAGGGGUACACGAGCGGCGAACGGGUGAGUAACACGUGGGUGACCUGCCCUUAGCUCUGGGAUAAGCCUGGGAAACUGGGUCUAAUACCGGAUAUGACUCCAUGACGCAUGUUGUGGGGUGGAAAGCCUUGUGCGGCUAGGGAUGGGCCCGCGGCCUAUCAGCUUGUUGGUGGGGUGANGGCCUACCAAGGCGACGACGGGUAGCCGGCCUGAGAGGGCGACCGGCCACACUGGGACUGAGACACGGCCCAGACUCCUACGGGAGGCAGCAGUGGGGAAUCUUGCGCAAUGGGCGAAAGCCUGACGCAGCGACGCCGCGUGAGGGAUGACGGCCU